UACGGGGGGGGCAAGCGUUGUUCGGAUUUACUGGGCGUAAAGCGCGUGUAGGCGGCCUUGCAAGUCGGAUGUGAAAGCCCACGGCUCAACCGUGGAAGUGCAUCCGAAACUGCAUAGCUUGAGUCUCGGAGAGGAAGGUGGAAUGCUUGGUGUAGAGGUGAAAUUCGUAGAUAUCAAGCAGAACACCUGCGGCGAAGGCGGCCUUCUGGACGAUGACUGACGCUGAGACGCGAAAGCGUGGGGAGCAAACAGG
rnacentral:rRNA from 1 species